GCCGCGGUGCCCAGCGACACGAAGGCGUCGUCCCCUCCUCGGGGGUACGGGCCCUGCGGGGCACCGCGGCACAGCCCCGGCGGGAAGGCGAGCGCAAAGUACCCCAGGUCCAUGACCCACGGGGCAACACGGCGGCCCGCCGGGGCAAUAGUGCCCUAUAUAGGCCCUGGAGCGGGGCGGCACGUCCCGCCCCGCGGCCAAUGGCAGCCCGGAGCGGGGAGCCCGAGCCGGGGUCCCGGGCGCUGCCAGCUCCCCUGCCCGGGCCGGCUGCCCGGGGCUGCCCGGGGCUGCGGCUGGGCCGCCCGCCGCGCCGGGAUUCCCCCGGGAAUCGCGGAGUCGCCGCGCACUCGGGACGUUUGCCGGGAGUUCAGCAGAAUGGCAGGAAACAGCAACAAGGUGAAGGAGGCGAAAUCUGGACUCCCGACAUGAUCAUCUUUCCCUAAAUGUCUCCAAGUGACACUUGACCAUCCAGUCUGGGCCACGGUGAUGUUUGAUUUGGGUAAUGAUCGGUUUCAUCCAAUGCCUUGAUAACCAUGUGAUAUAACCAAGUGCCAGUGCAGUUCAGAACAGCAGGAGGGUGUGCUGGGCAGCGUACACCUGGGCUUUGGUGACUUGGGACUGGACAUACAAGGAAUAGGAAGAAGGGCUUCAUCAUGCUGCUUUGAAUUAGACUUGCAACCUUCUAAUUCUUUGUAGGUGGAUGUGGAGUCAGCUGGGAAAUGCAAGGGUUGUGCAUUAUUAAAAAUAUAUUUUUUAUUUCUAAAUAAAAGCAUGAAAUUUAUAUGCCUUCAUCCAUCAUCCAGUGCCUUUCACUCAACAGCUCAAGGAACUCUACAAGCUCUUGGCAGAAGUGCCACUUGCUGUGGUCAGGAAGAGGCCACAAAUUUUGCAAGGACCGUGCAUGAUGCCAACCUCAUGAAGGCAACCAGAAUCCUCAGAGAAGAAACAUUCCACUGGAUCUCCUGUGGAUUUCAGAGGGCCAGACUGGUGACAGGAAAAGGAUAUAAUGGGGAGACAUAAUCAGACCAUUUCCUGACUCAGUAUCAACUCUUUCCCGUGGAGAUUUAUGCUCUGCAGCUCAGCUCCACCAUUAUACCCAGCUGAUGAAUUCAGAGCAGAUCUGUUGGGUUUUUCCUGCAGGGGCCCUGAGAGGACACAUCGCUAGGACAGGCAUGCACAUCCUGCAAGGGUACAGGAGCACUUCCCUGCACAGGGACUCUGAUCAGUGACAUGGCCUCAGCCCUACUUUCUCCCCAGCUAAUAUUGUUCUUCUACUAUAAACCAGCUAGUGCAGAGCAAUAAUAGACUGGCUUUGUAGGGAUUAUGUCUUAAGCAUGCCUGAACUUCAAGUCUACAGACACAGCAGUCACUGAAAUCUCAGAGUCCUGACACAGUGUUCUCCUGGCACAGACUUGUUCACUCUGAUGGGCUGUGCUGCCCUGGUACUCUAAUAAUGGAGGAUCACCUAAAUUUCUGUUUUCAGAGGGUGUGAGUAUAAAUAAAGAACAGUUAAAUCAAAUACACUUUUUAGGAAACAUACAUUUUGAGUAAGGGGUUAAAUUCUGGAUGAUGCAAACUUUCUCAGCACUCCCAUGACAAUCAGAGCAGUUUGGAAAAUGUUAUCUUCUGAAAAAUCAGGAGCCUGGGAACACCAGGUUUUCUCUUUAGCAGAGAAUGGCUGUCCAUGCAGCAGAGCAUCUGUGCUCUUCAGUCUCCCCUGCUGUAAAAAUUCCUUCCUGCAGUGAAGGAAAGAAAAUUGGCUUCAGAACAGGGCUGCUGCUUUACUUGGGUCUUGUGUUUGCAGAAUGAAACUGGUUUAAUUACACCUAAGACUGUUUUAAGUGCUAGAAAAGCUGUCUGUGUUCACACCAACAUAUGAUCUUUCCAUUUACCCAGCUGGAUGCUGUUACGAGUUUCCUGUUCAUUACCUGUUUGUUUUGGCAGGAUGUUCAAGGGUGACAAAAGCAGAAAUCAGUGGCUAAAUACAGGCAAAACAUCUCUUGUUGAUGCUUUGGCUUUAAAGGGAAGGCUUUUUCUACACGCAGGAAUUUCAGUGUUCAGACUUAAAUAGUUAAGUUCCAGUGAUAGAGAAUAGAGUGACUAAAGCUGUUUUUUUUUACAAGGAGUCUAAUGGAAAAGAUGAAAGACUUGUUGGAAGCCAAAAGAAGGAAGAAGAAAAGUGGGGGGAAAAGAAUGUAAAGAACAUGAUGCUGUCAGAGACAAUUUGAGAAUGGCUGGGAGGUUUAGGGAUGCCUGUGUGAGUAAUCAAGUGAUGGUGAGACAGGGGAGCUGAUGGUGCAAAAACCUCUGUGAGAACAAGGGACCAAAGGAGUCCUUGUGUCACCAUGUGUUUCAAAGUCCAUGUGUCACCUUGUUUCUGGAAGCAUGUGGGCCUCUACAAAGCCUGAGAAAGCCACUGUGGAACCAAGACAUGAUGUAGGAGGAAGUCCAGCCAAAAAGCCCUGAGUCCCGUUGGGUGCAGACACCAGCCCCUCACCUGAGGGAGGCUGCUCGAGCAGCGUGUGUUGGGGGCAGUGGCAGCCCCCAGACACUGCUCUGAGGCUGGGGCAUGUGACAGUCUCCCUAGAACAGGAGUCCACCCUCUGUGCUGGUCACAGUAGCCAGCACGCAGGAGAUCCAGCAGAUCCCUCCCCAGCCCCCAGGCCUGCAAGUUGUGGCUCAACAUUACCUUGUCCUUACCCCUCUGCUGCUACAGCACUGCCAGCUGGCACAGCUGGUUCUCAGUGCUCAGUGGGGAUGUACAUCCAUGGUGUGGAGACAGCUGGGGUGUGGGUGGGCAUCCUGAGGGGAGAGAAGCAAACACUGGGUGUUUAAGCAGUGGCCCUGUUAGCACAAACCAACCACCUAAGGCUCCUGUGAGAAAGGCUAUUGCAGAAGGAGGGGAAGCUCUUGGGAGUUCAUUUUGUAAAAUGUGAAUAAACCCAGGGAUGCACAGAGACCCAGGGAGUUGUUCUGGCACUCCGAGGGAGCCACCCUCAGCUCUCCCACUAGCACAGCCCUUUCAGGCAGUCUCAGCAACCCUCAGGAGGAGGUGUUUCUGCCAUCAAUGUUUCCCUGCCACAAGUUCCUCUUUCCCAGCUGACUCCUGAGAUAGGAACCUCUGUUCUCCCAGUAUGUAGGAUCAACAACAAAGAUCCUCUAUAUGGACACAGAGAAGAGGAUAGUCCAUCCCUUCUUCUGUAAAUAUUUGCUCUGAAGAAUGAUUCCACCCUGGCCCCUUGCCAUGUAAAGCCCUGUUUCCAGUCCCAUGGCUGUGAAUUUUGGGACAGAAUUAUUACACAUAUUGAUAACCCAGAAGUGUCAAGGUUAUCAUCAUGGACUUCUAUUGCAUUACAAAGAAGACGCCUCUGCCAGAGUCACGGAGAAGAAAGUGAGUUUAUUUACAAGAAGAUUCUCCCUCACACAAGCUCCUCCUCCUCCCCCACUGGAAACCAUAUCUGCUGGCCCCAUCUUUCUGCAACAUGAAAGUGAUUCAGGACAGUGGGCCUCAGUAACACCGUGUUUGUGGUCAGGGCUCCUCUGAGCUCCCUUCCUUCCCCAGAUCUCUAAACAGCCUUUUCUUUCUUAACAGAUUUGAUGAAGGACUAACAGUGUAAGUCGGGGCAGACCCUGUUUGACUAGCAGCCUACAGAGCACAAAGCAAAAGGGAAAAGGACACUGGGUGUCCUGGUGCCUUGCUGUUUCACCGAUAGAAGCAGGUGAUACAAAACAUAUUGUGCUUCAAGAACACACAAAAAACCUACAUGGACAAUUUUGUUUGUGAGCACAUUGAUUGCAGAAAGUUUUGGAGAGACAAACGUAUGUAUAUAUUCAUGGCAUGUUACAGAAGUAUCAAUCACAAGUGGUGUCUAGCAAUACUUUUUGUGUUGUUUGUAUGUUUUGUUUACUUCUGGGUGAUGCUUCUA